rnacentral:rRNA from 1 species
GACGAACUGUGCGAACGUUGUUCGGAAUCACUGGGCUUAAAGGGCGCGUAGGCGGGUCGGCAAGUCCGGGGUGAAAGCCCCCAGCUCAACUGGGGAAGGGCCUUGGAAACUGCCGGUCUCGAGGGAGGUAGGGGCCUGUGGAACUUCGGGUGGAGCGGUGAAAUGCGUUGAUAUCCGAAGGAACGCCGGUGGCGAAGGCGGUUCUCUGGGCCUUACCUGACGCUGAGGAGCGAAAGCGUGGGGAGCGAACAGG